CUCAUUUUCUCUUCUUCAUUCUCUUUCUUCUUCUCUUCUUUGUUCGUUCCUGCUGGUGAUUUGAGAGACGAAUGAGAGAUUCUGAGAUCGAGUUAAGAGGAGACUAAUCAAGGAUCGAGUGAUGGUGUUGGUGUUGAUUCGAUUAUCGUGUGCAGAAUUCUCAGAAAAGUUAGUCUUUAUUAACACCGAUCGAUUCAAAGGAUGAACCAGCGGAUUGAGAAUCUCAAGGUGGGCGAGGCUUGUCAUCAAAUCAGUUUCAGUAAUCAGAAGAAAUGGUGCAGUGAAGAUGUUCGUUCUUUCGUAGCGUAAAGUCUUAGUGAACUGAAGAUGUUUAUUUAUCUUUAUUAUAUGUAUUCUUUCUUUGUCUGUAAAGCAACACAUUAUUAAAUUCAUAGCACUCGAGAGACUUUCAUUUAUAUAACAUCAGAGAGAGUU